rnacentral:lncRNA from 1 species
UUUGUAGAUGGUAAAUUUCUUAUCCUCUAUUAUUUGACAGAUGAAUUUUCAAAGAGAAUAGUACUUAUGGUUAUUGGUGAAGAAUGAGUAGAAGACCGUUAUUUUGAUUUGAAAUAGUGCGAAGUCACUAACUUUCUAGAUAAGUGGGCUUGGAAAAGGAAAUGGCUGAAUGAUUUUAACUUAACUAAUUUGGAGUUGAGUUUACAUGUGAUAGUGAUGUUCAGGCACGCGAGAGGGAAAAUGGAGGAAUCAAUCAGGGAGGGUUUGUAACUAGUUGGGUUUCAUAAGCGGUUUUUGGUGUCUGUAGUGUAUUUCUUUUUUUCAUUGAGAUUGUCGAAACAGAUAAGAUGAAAUUCCAAUAUUUAAGGGGUGUCCCGCAAGCAGGACUAUGUCCUCGAGCUGCUCUAAUGGUAAAGAACUUGAACAUAAUUAAUUUGUUUUAAAAUUAUGCAGGAAACGCCAUACUUGCUAAUUAACCAUGAAUAUUCACCUUU